CGGCGAACGGGUGAGUAACGCAUCGGAACGUACCCUGUCGUGGGGGAUAACUAUCCGAAAGGAUGGCUAAUACCGCAUACGACCUGAGGGUGAAAGCGGGGGAUCGCAAGACCUCGCGCGAUAGGAGCGGCCGAUGCCGGAUUAGCUAGUUGGUGAGGUAAAGGCUCACCAAGGCGACGAUCCGUAGCUGGUCUGAGAGGACGACCAGCCACACUGGGACUGAGACACGGCCCAGACUCCUACGGGAGGCAGCAGUGGGGAAUUUUGGACAAUGGGGGCAACCCUGAUCCAGCCAUUCCGCGUGAGUGAAGAAGGCCUUCGGGUUGUAAAGCUCUUUCGGCAGGAACGAAACGGCGGGCUCUAACAUAGCCUGCUAAUGACGGUACCUGAAGAAGAAGCACCGGCUAACUACGUGCCAGCAGCCGCGGUAAUACGUAGGGUGCGAGCGUUAAUCGGAAUUACUGGGCGUAAAGCGUGCGCAGGCGGUUUUGUAAGACAGAUGUGAAAUCCCCGGGCUUAACCUGGGAACUGCGUUUGUGACUGCAAGACUUGAGUGCGGCAGAGGGGGGUGGAAUUCCACGUGUAGCAGUGAAAUGCGUAGAGAUGUGGAGGAACACCGAUGGCGAAGGCAGCCCCCUGGGUCGACACUGACGCUCAUGCACGAAAGCGUGGGUAGCAAACAGGAUUAGAUACCCUGGUAGUCCACGCCCUAAACGAUGCCAACUAGGUGUUGGGGGAAGGAGACUUCCUUAGUACCGUAGCUAACGCGUGAAGUUGGCCGCCUGGGGGAGUACGGUCGCAAGAUUAAAACUCAAAGGAAUUGACGGGGACCCGCACAAGCGGUGGAUGAUGUGGAUUAAUUCGAUGCAACGCGAAAACCUUACCUACCCUUGACA
rnacentral:rRNA from 1 species